GUGGCAAUAGUUCAAUGGCAGAGCGCCAGCCUUCCAAGCUGGAUGUUGCGGGUUCAAGUCCCGUUUGCCACUCCA
rnacentral:tRNA from 1 species